UCAUGUUACAGGGUACCAUAUGCCACAUGUCAUAGAACCCAAUGGACGUUGAACUUGUUUGACCUUUUCUUUGGAGACCAAGCAUUCAACAGUCAAAACUAUUCAAUUUAUUAAUCUUUUUUAUUUCAACCAAUAAUUAUAGGCACUUUUUGUUGACUUUG